rnacentral:rRNA from 1 species
UGGGGAAUAUUGGACAAUGGGGGCAACCCUGAUCCAGCAAUACCGCGUGUGUGAAGAAGGCCUUCGGGUUGUAAAGCACUUUAGUUGGGGAAGAAGGUAAGCUGUUUAAGAGAUGGCUUAUUUGACGGUACCCAAAGAAUAAGCACCGGCUAACUCUGUGCCAGCAGCCGCGGUAAUACAGAGGGUGCAAGCGUUAAUCGGAGUUACUGGGCGUAAAGGGCGCGUAGGUGGUUAUGUAAGUUGGAUGUGAAAUCCCUGGGCUUAACCUAGGAACUGCAUACAAGACUGCAUAGCUAGAGUACUGUAGAGGGUAGUGGAAUUUCCGGUGUAGCGGUGAAAUGCGUAGAGAUCGGAAGGAACACCAGUGGCGAAGGCGGCUACCUGGACAGAUACUGACACUGAGGCGCGAGAGCGUGGGGAGCAAACAG